rnacentral:rRNA from 1 species
GACAGAGGGUGCAAACGUUGUUCGGAAUUACUGGGCGUAAAGCGCGUGUAGGCGGCCCGGAAAGUCGGAUGUGAAAGCCCUGGGCUUAACCUAGGAAGUGCAUUCGAAACUGCUGGGCUUGAGUUCUGGAGAGGAAGGCGGAAUUCUCGGUGUAGAGGUGAAAUUCGUAGAUAUCGAGAGGAACACCGGUGGCGAAGGCGGCCUUCUGGACAGUGACUGACGCUGAGACGCGAAAGCGUGGGGAGCAAACAGGG